AUUCCAGCUCCAAUAGCGUAUAUAAAAGUGUUGCAGUUAAAAAGUUCGUAGUUGGUUUUGUGAGUGCCAAUGUGUGCCAAUCGCGAGUGCAGCAGGGCCCUUCCAUCCUUCUGCUAACGCCUCUUGGCAUUCAUUUGCUGGUGGCGGGCUCAGAUAUUAUAGCCUUGAGAAAACUAUAGUGUUUCAGGCAGGCAAGGCCGGAAUAAAUUAGGAUGGAAUAAUGGAAUAGGACUUCUUCCUCUUUGUUGGAUUGAGGGAUGCAGUAAUGAUAAAUAGGGAUAGUUGGGGGCAUUAGUUUUUAUUUGUCAGAGUUGGAAUUCUCGGAUUUGUUUAAGACUAUCCUAUGCGAAAGCUUUUGCAAGAAUGUUUUCAUUA
rnacentral:rRNA from 1 species